rnacentral:rRNA from 1 species
GCCAUGCAUGUCUCAGUACAAGCCAAAUUAAGGUGAAACCGCGAAAGGCUCAUUAAAUCAGUUAUGGUUCCUUAGAUCGUACCACAUUUACUUGGAUAACUGUGGUAAUUCUAGAGCUAAUACAUGCAAACAGAGCUCCGACCGGAGACGGAAGGAGCGCUUUUAUUAGAUCAAAACCAAUCGGUGGCGGGCUCGCCCGUCAUCGUACAUUUUGGUGACUCUGAAUAACUUUUUGCUGAUCGCACGGUCACGCACCGGCGACGCAUCUUUCAAAUGUCUGCCUUAUCAACUGUCGAUGGUAGGUUCUGCGCCUACCAUGGUUGUAACGGGUAACGGGGAAUCAGGGUUCGAUUCCGGAGAGGGAGCCUGAGAAACGGCUACCACAUCCAAGGAAGGCAGCAGGCGCGCAAAUUACCCACUCCCGGCACGGGGAGGUAGUGACGAAAAAUAACGAUACGGGACUCAUCCGAGGCCCCGUAAUCGGAAUGAGUACACUCUAAACUCUUUAACGAGAACCCAUUGGAGGGCAAGUCUGGUGCCAGCAGCCGCGGUAAUUCCAGCUCCAAUAGCGUAU